AACCCAUGGUGAGGGCAUCUUCGUAAAAGAUCCUUAUAUCUCUUCCAUGAAUCGUAGAGUGUUUCUAAAUCCAUCUACAAAAAAGAGGAGAUAUCAUUACGUAAUUU
rnacentral:snoRNA from 1 species